rnacentral:rRNA from 1 species
CCUACGGGUGGCAGCAGUGAGGAAUAUUGGUCAAUGGACGAGAGUCUGAACCAGCCAAGUCGCGUGAAGGAUGACUGCCCUAGGGGUUGUAAACUUCUUUUAUAUGGGAAUAAAAUGUUCCACGUGUGGGAUUUUGUAUUUACGAUAUGAAAAAGGAUCGCCUAACUCCGUGCCAGCAGCCGCGGUAAUACGGAGGAUCCGAGCGUUAUCCGGAUUUAUUGGGUUUAAAGGGAGCGUAGGUGGAUUGUUAAGUCAGUUGUGAAAGUUUGCGGCUCAACCGUAAAAUUGCAGUUGAAACUGGCAGUCUUGAGUACAGUAGAGGUGGGCGGAAUGCGUGGUGUAGCGGUGAAAUGCUUAGAGAUCACGAAGAACACCGAUGGCGAAGGCAGUUCACUGGACUGCAACUGACACUGAUGCUCGAAAGUGUGGGUAUCAAACAGGAUUAGAUACCCCAGUAGUC